AUUUAAAAUCUGACAGUGUUCACUGUCUGAAUUGUAGCCUAGAGAAGUGUUACCCGUGCUGGACCRUGUAUAAGUCUCCUGGGAUGGAGCGUCACAGAGGGUGAGAAUCCCGUGUUUGACAUGGACUACCAGUGCAUUGUGGUAUGCUCUCAAAGAGUUGAGUUGUUUGGGAUUGCAGCUCUAAAUGGGUGGUAAAUUCCAUCUAAAGCUAAAUAUUGGCGAGAGACCGAUAGCGAACAAGUACCGUGAGGGAAAGAUGAAAAGAACUUUGGAAAGAGAGUUAAACAGUAUGUGAAAUUGUUGAAAGGGAAACGCUUGAAGUCAGUCGCAUUGGUUUGGGAUCAAGUCGGCUCUUUUGCCGACUGUASUUCCUUACCAAUGGGUCAACAUGAGUUYUGACCACUAGAGAAAGGCUUUGGGAAUGUGGCACGUUUUAAGGUGUGUUAUAGCCCYUGGUUGUAUGUAGUGGUUGGGACUGAGGAAAACAGCGUGCCGCAAGGCCGGGUUCGACCACGUUCACGCUUAGGAUGUUGGCAUAUAAUGGCUUUAAGYGACCCGUCUUGAAACACGGACCAAGGAGUCUAACAUGCAUGCAAGUGUUUGGGUGGAAAACUCAAGUGCGCAAUGAAAGUGAAAGUUGAGAUCCUCUGUUAUAAAGGGGGAGCAUCGACGCCCGGACCAGAACUUUUGGGAUGGAUCUGCGGUAGAGCAUGUAUGUUGGGACCCGAAAGAUGGUGAACUAUGCCUGAAUAGGGCGAAGCCAGAGGAAACUCUGGUGGAGGCUCGUAGCGAUUCUGACGUGCAAAUCGAUCGUCGAAUUUGGGUAUA
rnacentral:rRNA from 1 species